rnacentral:rRNA from 1 species
CAGCCGCCGCGGUAAUACGAAGGGUGCAAGCGUUAAUCGGAAUUACUGGGCGUAGAGCGUGCGUAGGCGGUUUGUUAAGUCUGUUGUGAAAUCCCCGGGCUCAACCUGGGAAUGGCAAUGGAUACUGGCAAGCUAGAGUGUGUCAGAGGAUGGUGGAAUUCCCGGUGUAGCGGUGAAAUGCGUAGAGAUCGGGAGGAACAUCAGUGGCGAAGGCGGCCAUCUGGGACAACACUGACGCUGAGGCACGAAAGCGUGGGGAGCAAACAGGAUUAGAUACCCCAGUAGUCCCUGUCUCUUAUAC